UGACGUUCAACAUGGGGCCUGAGAUGA
rnacentral:piRNA from 1 species